CGCAUUUCCACCUGUGUCUCCGGUUCGUUCCCGUUCUCAUCAUCUUUGUGUCGAAAAAUCAAAGCAAUGGGCACGAAUAGAAGCACCAAACAAAGAAAGAAAGCAUGUGAAAUCCAUGUCUUUCAAAUCAAAUAAGGGAUUCCAUUCUGUGAUUCACUCACUCAAUCUAUCAUUCUUACUUUCUAAUAUCCUAUUCCUAUAUCUACACCCACUAAUUCUCUUUCUCACAACCAGCUUUAGUCAUUUUGUGAUAAUACUCAUGCUAUUACUAUCAAUUUCUGCACUGCAACGGAGUUAAUUAUCUUUGCCUUUUCAGGUUAUGCAGGUUCUAUGGUCUAUGGUUCUAUCCAGAUAAGUUGCAAUUGUACUUACGAAAUUUCCUAAUUCAAUGAUGAGAAUCUAAUCUGCAACAAGAACAAAAGUGAUGGCUCCAAGUCGACAACACCUAGUCUUGCAUAUAUUGAGUCUAAUUAUCGCCUUUGUUAAAAAUUGGUUAUUGGAUAUUUUUUGGUCUAAACUGUAUAAGUAUCCUUUUCAGGGACAAUUAUGCUUGAAUGGUGAACACUCAUAUCAUAGUAGAGUUAGCUCUCUUAGCGGGAAAUUUUUUCAUACACAAGGCUGGUACUGAAACCUUGUUCGAAGGGAAUUAAGAAUGUAGUAUUUGAACUAAUCACUUGUUGAUUGUUAACUGGUCAAGGUUGUAGGUAACCAAAAAUCUUGAUUUUUCAUUGUAACUUUUAUUCAAAUUGUUGUUUAGGAGUUUGUAUGAAUGUUACCUGAGUCUUAGGAUUGUUACUAUUUUUAAUUUC